AUUUUUCUGAGGAAUUAUUACCUCACAUGUUUGUCUUUGUUUUCUAAUUCAGAAAUGCCACAAACUGCAAACAUGCUGGAGACCUGACUGAAAAAUGACAGGCCAGUUCUUGGCCACAAGCUCACCCAGGCCAGCAGCCAACGAAGGGCCCCAUGGACUCCCUGGAGCUGGGACUCCAGGGCAACACCAAACCUACCCCCAGGAAAGACCUCACUGGGCAGUCAGGUGGGGAGACCAGAGGGGUGGAGAAAAUCAGAAAUGCCACAAACUGUAAACAUGCUGGAGACCUGACUGAAAAAUGACAGGCCAGUUCUUGGCCACAAGCUCACCCAGGCCAGCAGCCAAUGAAGGGCCCCAUGGACUCCCUGGAGCUGGGACCCCAGGGCAACACCAAACCUACCCCCAGGAAAGACCUCACUGGGCAGUCAGGAGGGGAGACCAGAGGGGUGGAGAAAAUCAGCUGCCCUCAGAUGUCGUCCUUCUCUAAGAAUAUGGAGUACCUUUCAGGACUGUGGAUGAAGGUUUGAUGGGAGAAAUGAGCGUGGGAGACUCCCUCUGGUCAAGCUCCAAUGUUGCAUGAACACAGGCAGAAAUAACUUCAUACAACAUCACAGAGAGGGCUGAACCCUCAGCCCCAUUUAUGAUGUUUUGGUCAAACAUUAUGAAAGGGUAUCCAUGGUUUACCUUCCAGACUACUUUUCUUGUAGGAAUUUGAAUAAGACACUAGAGGAGGUAAUGUUUUGAAAAUCCAUGUGUGACAUGAAAUGGUUGCCAUUGCCAAUCCUCAGAUCUGAACCCAAGAGUGCAUUUUACAUUCCAUCACACUACAAUCACAUAGCAGACAUGCUUAUCCAGAGGGAUGUACAACAGUGGAGAACAUCAAUUUAACUCUCAGGAACACAAAAAUGUGAUACCACCAAGAAGGCACAUUUAUAAUCAAUAAGUGUAAUAAAAAAUAUAUAUUUGUAUUAUAACUGAACAAAGUGCGACUUGAUUACACAGCUAAAACUAUAGCAUUACUCAAAAGAAAGAAAGAAAAGAAAGAACAAGAGAAAAAAGGUUAUCUAAAGGGGGUCAGGGGAGCUAUGGUGCAGUCUGAAGAGGUCUGAACUGCCAUGAUGUUCUCAGAGAGGGACAGUCUGGUGUCCAGUGCCACUCUGAGAAUCCUGACAAA